rnacentral:rRNA from 1 species
GGGGAAUAUUGCACAAUGGGCGAAAGCCUGAUGCAGCAACGCCGCGUGAGUGAUGAAGGUCUUCGGAUUGUAAAGCUCUGUCUUUUGGGACGAUAAUGACGGUACCAAAGGAGGAAGCCACGGCUAACUACGUGCCAGCAGCCGCGGUAAUACGUAGGUGGCGAGCGUUGUCCGGAUUUACUGGGCGUAAAGGGUGCGUAGGCGGAUGUUUAAGUGAGAUGUGAAAUACCC